CCUUUACAGUUUCUCUGCGACUCCAAUCUUCAUCUCACAACAGCAUCAAUAUUCAUCAAUCAUCAUCAUUACUGCAAUAUCAUCUUCAUCUUCCUCGCAUACACAUCAUACAACAACACCUCUGCUUCAGCAUAUUCAUCACAGUUUCGCAAGUACAACAACGAAUGCUUGAGAAGUAAUCAAAAUGGAAUCAGAGAAGAAAAGAAAACGAAUUCAAAAUACGCAUACCUGAGUCGCUGUUCUCCAGUUUUCUAUUCGUUUUCAUCAAGCUUGAAGAGCCACCCGAGUUCUCCGGUAGGUAAGCCUUACAUUACUUAUUGUUUCUGCAUCCCUGUGUGUUAA